rnacentral:rRNA from 1 species
UACGUAGGGGGGCAAGCGUUGUCCGGAAUCAUUGGGCGUAAAGAGCGUGUAGGCGGCUCGAUAAGUCUGCUGUGAAAGUCCAGGGCUCAACCCUGGAAGGCCGGUGGAAACUGUCGGGCUAGAGUCCGGAAGAGGCGAGUGGAAUUCCCCGGUGUAGCGGUGAAAUGCGCAGAUAUCGGGAGGAACACCAAUGGCGAAGGCAGCUCGCUGGGACGGUACUGACGCUGAGACGCGAAAGCGUGGGGAGCAAACAGGG